UUUUUUUUUAAUUUAAAAAAAACUUUGGAUUUUUUAUAGAGACAGGAUCUUGCUAUGUUGCCCAGGAUGUUCUUGAACUCCAGGCCUCAAGCAAUCCUCCCACCUCGGUCUCCCAAAGUGCUGGGAUUACAGGCAUAAGCCACCACACCUGGUUCACCUUACUCACUUCUAUUCCAGGACGGUUCAACUAUGAUGUUUUGGCUCCUCUUCUCAAGCAGGUUGCCACACCUGGUUCCAUGAUCUCUUCUGGCACAGUAGCUGGUAUUUGGCAAACAUAGGUUUCAUCCUGGGAUCUCAGGGAUUGAAAUCUGUCGUAGGUGUGCACCAGAAAGUGGUGGCAAGAGAUGAAGCUUCGGAGGAGGCUGACCUCGGCCAGGAUUCUUAAGUCUCAAAGUUUCAGCUUUCUCAUCCCUCAACGGACAUGAAAUCUACCUAUUUGUAACUCCAGGGAAGUAAAUGAGAUAAUGUUUGGAAGAUAUCUAGUCUACCAGGCGCUCAGGCGGGGGGGCGAAAGUUCUGUUCCCUGCCCCUUCUCUACCAAAUGGCUUUAAAAUCAGAAUUACGGGUAGGAAAUGGGACUGCGAAAACAAUGGAAGCUGAUUCUGGCCUAAAGGAUACUUAUCUCUAUACAAAGGGCUUCUGAUUCAAAGAGGCCCCUGGAUUCAAAAACACAAGCAGAGCAACACCAACUCGUGGAGUUUGGGACGAGUUGAAUUCCGGAUAAAGAUGCCUGUAAAGAGGAGUUGAUGAGAAUCCAGAAAAGCACUUGAAAUGCCCAGGGUUUGCAUGGCACAUUCCCCAGGAUUUUUUCGCACCGCAUUUAGAGGUUUAGACGGAGUGAGCUCGAAUCAGGCCAAAAGCCUUAGGUUACUCCUUGGCGGCGGCUGGGCAGAGGUCAGAUCAACAGGUGUGGGAGGCUGCGAGGUGAGGGAAGAAGCAGGUGUCGGUGGAGGCCCCAGUUCCUCUGGCCCAGAGGCUCCAAGACUGCUAUUGGUGUUCCAGCAGCGGGCGGAGGAGUCCUGCCCGGCAUCUGGGCGCGUUGGGCCUAGAACCCGGGAGGAGGCAGACGGAGGCGGCGGGUCAGCGGCGGGCC
rnacentral:lncRNA from 1 species